AUUGACAGCCUGCUUUCCACUGCCUAAAGAUGACCUUGUCUUUUCCCCUUCACCAAGAAUUUAUUGUGUGAGUAUCCAAUGACUGAUCUGCCUUUUCUUUUUAAUGGAGUCACCUACUAAACAGUGCCCAAAUGUGGUAUCCAAAGUAGGUGAACCCUUAUCAGGUUACCAAGUUAUGGGAGAUAUCUACUAAACAACUGAAAGAGAAAAAACAGGUAAAGCGCUUUUUCUUAAUUCUGCUCUUUCAAUUGCACACCUUAAUUUGGUACCCUUAAAGGACCACUAUAGUGCCAGGAGAACAUACUUGUUUUCCUGGCACUAUAGUGCCCUGAGGGUGCCCCCACCCACAGGGUUCCCCUCCCACCGGGCUCUGGGGAGAGGAAAGGGGUUAAACUUACCUUUUUUCCAGCGCCAGGCGGGGAGCUCUCCUCCUCCUCUCCGCCUCUGAUCCUCCCUUUGGGCUGAAUGCACACGCGCGGCAAGAGCUGCGCGCGCAUUCAGCCGGUCUCAUAGGAAAGCAUUUCCAAUGCUUUCCUAUGGAUGCUUGCGUGUUCUCACUGUGAUUUUCACAGUGAGAAUCACGCAAGCGCCUCUAGCGGCUGUCAAUGAGACAGCCACUAGAGGAUUUGGAGGCUGGAUUAACCCAUUUAUAAACAUAGCAGUUUCUCUGAAACUGCUGUUUAUAAAAAAAAAAAAAAAGGGGUUAAUCCUAGAGGGACCCAGACCACUUCAUUAAGCUGAAGUGGUCUGGGUGCCUAGAGUGGUCCUUUAAUUAUGGUACUUCCACGUAUGUGUACCAAAUUAGGGUGCUAUCCCUAAACAGGUAAAAGAUCAAAAAAAAAAAAAAACUUUAAUAUUACUGUUUCAGUUAUUCCUUAGUUAAGUCCCUAACUUGCUAUCCUUAUUUAAAAAGAAAAAAAAAAAAAAAAUUGGUAUGAAAAUGUAUGGCUCAAUUUGUUAAAGCUUUAAUUUUGAUAAUUUUGUAUGCUGACAAAUUCGGAUUCUUCUGAAAUUAGGAUGACAUUCGAUUUGUCCAUGUUUCAUGUAAGAAAAGCACAUGUCUACUAAAAAACACAAACCAUUAAAUCCAGUUGUGCAGGGCUUAGCUCAGUUCACAAUAGAGGUGAGGAGCAGGCACCAGGUAAGAAGUCAAACUGCUUUAAAAAGUUUUGAUUGCUCACUGGGAGGGAAUCACCGGGCUCUUCUGGCACUAAAACCACUGGGGCAGUGGUUACGGUGCUUAGGGUGUACCUUUUUAUAUUACUGAAAGAAACUAAACAAGAAAAGUGGGUCUAUCAUAAUAAUGGGCAGAUGUUAGUAAUUUUUGUUACUUCUAUCUUUAGGUUCACCAAAAUUCAAAAAUGCCGUAUUGGUCAGGUUUGGAUUCAGAGCAGGUCAUGGAGGAAGAUGCUGGUUAUUCUCCUGAUGGGCUCAUGCCUCUUUCAGCCAGUACAACAAAGAGACAGCAUCUGGACACUUGUGCAAGGACUCCUAUCGGACCAUGUACAGCUGCAGUAUUUGGAACCACCACUUUUUUAAUGCCACACUUGUCAUG